AGAGUUUGAUCCUGGCUCAGGACGAACGCUGGCGGCGCGCCUAACACAUGCAAGUCGAAUGAGCGAGAGAGAGCUUGCUUUCUCGAGCGAGUGGCGAACGGGUGAGUAACGCGUGAGGGACCUGCCUCAAAGAGGGGGACAACAGUUGGAAACGACUGCUAAUACCGCAUAAGCCCACGGCUCGGCAUCGAGCAGAGGGAAAAGGAGCAAUCCGCUUUGAGAUGGCCUCGCGUCCGAUUAGCUAGUUGGUGAGGUAACGGCCCACCAAGGCGACGAUCGGUAGCCGGACUGAGAGGUUGAACGGCCACAUUGGGACUGAGACACGGCCCAGACUCCUACGGGAGGCAGCAGUGGGGAAUAUUGCACAAUGGGGGAAACCCUGAUGCAGCGACGCCGCGUGGAGGAAGAAGGUCUUCGGAUUGUAAACUCCUGUUGUUGAGGAAGAUAAUGACGGUACUCAACAAGGAAGUGACGGCUAACUACGUGCCAGCAGCCGCGGUAAAACGUAGGUCACAAGCGUUGUCCGGAAUUACUGGGUGUAAAGGGAGCGCAGCCGGGAAGACAAGUUGGAAGUGAAAUCCAUGGGCUUAACCCAUGAACUGCUUUCAAAACUGUUUUUCUUGAGUAGUGCGGAGGUAGGCGGAAUUCCCGGUGUAGCGGUGGAAUGCGUAGAUAUCGGGAGGAACACCAGUGGCGAAGGCGGCCUACUGGGCACCAACUGACGCUGAGGCUCGAAAGUGUGGGUAGCAAACAGGAUUAGAUACCCUGGUAGUCCACACUGUAAACGAUGAUUACUAGGUGUUGGAGGAUUGACCCCUUCAGUGCCGUAGUUAACACAAUAAGUAAUCCACCUGGGGAGUACGACCGCAAGGUUGAAACUCAAAGGAAUUGACGGGGGCCCGCACAAGCAGUGGAGUAUGUGGUUUAAUUCGACGCAACGCGAAGAACCUUACCAAGUCUUGACAUCCUGCGACGCACAUAGAAAUAUGUGUUUCCUUCGGGACGCAGAGACAGGUGGUGCAUGGUUGUCGUCAGCUCGUGUCGUGAGAUGUUGGGUUAAGUCCCGCAACGAGCGCAACCCUUAUGGUCAGUUACUACGCAAGAGGACUCUGGCCAGACUGCCGUUGACAAAACGGAGGAAGGUGGGGAUGACGUCAAAUCAUCAUGCCCUUUAUGACUUGGGCUACACACGUACUACAAUGGCGUUAAACAAAGAGAAGCAAGACCGCGAGGUGGAGCAAAACUCAGAAACAACGUCCCAGUUCGGACUGCAGGCUGCAACUCGCCUGCACGAAGUCGGAAUUGCUAGUAAUCGC
rnacentral:rRNA from 1 species